rnacentral:rRNA from 1 species
AGUCGAGCGGUAUGGAGAAGCUUGCUUCUCCAGAGAGCGGCGGACUGGUGAGUAACACGUGGGUGACCUACCCUUAGGAUGGGGAUAGCCACUAGAAAUAGUGGGUAAUACCGAAUGUGGUUGCGAGACUGUGGUCUUGCAAAGAAAGGAGCUACGGCUCCGCCUGAGGAUGGGCCCGCGUCCCAUUAGCUAGUUGGUGAGGUAACGGCCCACCAAGGCGAUGAUGGGUAGCCGGCCUGAGAGGGUGAACGGCCACACUGGGACUGAGAUACGGCCCAGACUCCUACGGGAGGCAGCAGCUAAGAAUAUUCCGCAAUGGACGAAAGUCUGACGGAGCGACGCCGCGUGGAUGAAGAAGGCCGAAAGGUUGUAAAAUCCUUUUGUCGAUGAAGAAUAAGCAUGGGAGGGAAUGCCCGUGUGAUGACGUUAGUCGGCGAAUAAGCCCCGGCUAAUUACGUGCCAGCAGCCGCGGUAACACGUAAGGGGCGAGCGUUGUUCGGAAUUAUUGGGCGUAAAGGGCGCGUAGGCGGUCCUGUAAGCCCGGCGUGAAAACCUGGAGCUCAACUCCGGGCCUGCGCUGGGAACUGCGGGACUAGAGUCAUGGAAGGGAAGUUGGAAUUCCAGGUGUAGGGGUGAAAUCUGUAGAUAUCUGGAAGAACACCGGUGGCGAAAGCGAACUUCUGGCCAAUGACUGACGCUGAGCGCGAAAGUGCGGGGAGCAAACAGGAUUAGAUACCCUGGCUAGUCCGCACCAUAAACGAUGUACACUACGCGUUGGGUCGAGUGACUCAGUGCCGAAGCUAACGUGAUAAGUGUACCGCCUGGGGAGUAUGCCCCGCAAGGGUGAAACUCAAAGGAA